AGAGUUUGAUCAUGGCUCAGGAUGAACGCUAGCGGCAGGCUUAAUACAUGCAAGUCGAGGGGCAACAGGGGUAGCAAUACCUGCUGGCGACCGGCAAACGGGUGCGGAACACGUACAGAACCUUCCUUUAAGCGGGGGAUAGCCCAUAGAAAUGUGGAUUAAUACCCCAUGGUAUUAUUGACUGGCAUCAGUUGAUAAUUAAAGAUUUAUCACUUAAAGAUGGCUGUGCGGCUGAUUAGGUAGUUGGUCGGGGUAACGGCCCACCAAGCCAACGAUCAGUAACUGGUGUGAGAGCACGACCAGUCACACGGGCACUGAGACACGGGCCCGACUCCUACGGGAGGCAGCAGUAAGGAAUAUUGGUCAAUGGACGCAAGUCUGAACCAGCCAUGCCGCGUGAAGGAUGAAGGCCCUCUGGGUUGUAAACUUCUUUUAUCUGGGAAGAAAUGCUUGUUUUAUAAUGAGUUUGACGGUACCAGAGGAAUAAGCACCGGCUAACUCCGUGCCAGCAGCCGCGGUAAUACGGAGGGUGCAAGCGUUAUCCGGAUUCACUGGGUUUAAAGGGUGCGUAGGUGGGUUGGUAAGUCAGUGGUGAAAUCUCCGUGCUUAACAUGGAAACUGCCAUUGAUACUACUGAUCUUGAAUUUUCCGGAGGUAAGCGGAAUAUGUCUGUAGCGGUGAAAUGCUUAGAUAUGACAUAGAACACCAAUUGCGAAGGCAGCUUACUACAGGGACAUUGACACUGAGGCACGAAAGCGUGGGCAAACAGGAUUAGAUACCCUAGUAGUCC
rnacentral:rRNA from 1 species